CCUGAUGGAGCGACACCGCGUGAAGGAUGAAGGUCGAAAGGUUGUAAACUUCUUUUCUGAGGGAGCAUAAUGAGAGUACUUCAGGAAUAAGGGACGGCAAAUCUCGUGCCAGCAGCCGCGGUAAUACGAGAGUCCCAAGCAUUGCCCGGAAUCACUGGGUGUAAAGCGUUUGUAGGUUGUGUGACAAGUAGAGUAUGAAAGACCGAAGCUUAACUUCGUGUUUGUGCUCUAAACUAUCAUUCUUGAAUCAGGAAGAGGUAAGCGGAAUUCUAAGUGUAGGGGUGCAAUCCGUAGAUACUUAGAAGAACACCAAAAGCGAAGGCAGCUUACUAGUACUGUAUUGACACUGAGAAACGAAAGCGUGGGGAGCGAAAAGGAUUAGAUACCCUUGUAGUCCACGCCCUAAACGAUGAUAAUUAAGUGUCGCACUUGUUGCGGUGCUGUAGCUAACGCGUUAAAUUAUCCACCUGAGAAGUACGGUCGCAAGAUUAAAACUCAAAGGAAUAGACGGGGACCCACACAAGCAGUGGAUCAUGUUGUUUAAUUCGACAAUAAACGGGGAACCUUACCCAGACUUGACAUCUAGAGAAUCCACUGGAAACAGAGGAGUGCCCGCAAGGGAGCUCUAAGACAGGU
rnacentral:rRNA from 1 species